GAUGAACGCUGGCGGCGUGCCUAAUACAUGCAAGUCGAGCGAACGGACGAGAAGCUUGCUUCUCUGAUGUUAGCGGCGGACGGGUGAGUAACACGUGGAUAACCUACCUAUAAGACUGGGAUAACUUCGGGAAACCGGAGCUAAUACCGGUAAUAUUUUGAACCGCAUGGUUCAAAAGUGAAAGACGGUCUUGCUGUCACUUAUAGAUGGAUCCGCGCUGCAUUAGCUAGUUGGUAAGGUAACGGCUUACCAAGGCAACGAUGCAUAGCCGACCUGAGAGGGUGAUCGGCCACACUGGAACUGAGACACGGUCCAGACUCCUACGGGAGGCAGCAGUAGGGAAUCUUCCGCAAUGGGCGAAAGCCUGACGGAGCAACGCCGCGUGAGUGAUGAAGGUCUUCGGAUCGUAAAACUCUGUUAUUAGGGAAGAACAUAUGUGUAAGUAACUGUGCACAUCUUGACGGUACCUAAUCAGAAAGCCACGGCUAACUACGUG
rnacentral:rRNA from 1 species